CAUUUCACCGCUCCACCAGAAAUUCCCUCUGCCCCUACCAUACUCUAGCUUGGUAGUUUCCACUGCCUAUCCAGGGUUAAGCCCUGGGAUUUGACGGCAGACUUAAAAAUCCACCUACAGACGCUUUAUGCCUAAUCAUUCCGGAUAACCUUGCAUCCUCUAUAUUACUGGGGCGGCUGGCAUAGAGUUAGUCGAUGCUUAUUCCUCACAUACCAUCAUUGCUUCUUCUCCGGGAAAAGAAGUUCACAACUCAUGGGCCAUCUACCUCCACGCGGCAUUGCUCCAUUAGGCUUUUGCCCAUUGCAGAAAAUUCCCCACUACUGCCUCUCGUAAGAGUCUGGGCCAUGUCUCAGUCCCAGUGUGGCUGAUCAUCCUCUCGGACCAGCUACUAAUCAUUGCCUUGGUAAGCUAUUGCCUUACCAACUAGCAAAUCAGACGCGAGCCCCUCCUCUGGCGGAUUCCUCCUUUAGCUCCUCAGUCUACGGGGUAUUAGCAGCCGUUCCCCUCCCAAGGGCAGGUUUUUACGCGUUACUCACCCGUCUGCCACUGGAAACACCGUUUCCCAUGUUUUUCAUCCGACUUGCAUGUGUUAAGCAUGCCGCCAGUGUUCAUCUUGAUCCAGGAUCGAACUCCCUAUGAGAUUCACAAUUGCAUUACUUAUAGCUUCCUUGUUCGUAGACAAAGCGGAUUCAAAAUUGUCUUUCAUUCCAAGGCAUAACUUGUAUCCAUGAUCUUUAUAUUCGCCCGGAGUUCUCUCCCAGAAAUAUAGCCAUCCCUACCCCCUUACAUCAAUCCCACAAGCCUCUUAUCUAUUCUCAUUGAAAGACGGCGGGGGAGCAAAUCUAACUAGAAAAACUCAUAUUGGGUUUAGGGAUAAUCAGGCUCAAACUGAUGACUUCCACCACGUCAAUGUGACACUCUGCCGCUGAGUUAUAUCCCUUCCCUACCCCAUCGAGAAAUAGAAUUGACUAAUCCUAAGUCAAAGGGUCGAGAAACUCAACGCCACUAUUUUUGAACAACUUGGAGCCGGGGCCUUCUUUUCGCACUAUUAUGGAUAUGAAAAUAAUGGUCAAAAUCGGAUUCAAUUGUCAAUUGCCCCUAUCGGAACUAGGAUUUACUACCGAUUUCGAAGGAACGAACUGGAGUUACAUCUUUUUUCCAUUCAAGAGUUCUUCUGUAUUUCUACGCCCCAUUGAGACCCCAAAAAAUGGACAAAUUCCUUUUCUUAGGAACACAUACAAGAUUCGUCACUAUAAAAAGGAUAAUGGUAACCCUACAAUUAACAGCCGAGCCCCUCUUCUCCUCGAUCCACAGAGACAAAAUGUAGGACUGGUGCCAAAAGUUCAUCACGAAAGAAAGGACUCACUAAGUUGGGAUCACUAACUAAUACUAAUCUAAUAUAAUAGUCUAAUAUAUCUAAUAUACUAAUAUAACUAAUAUAAUAGAAAAUACUAAUAUAAUAGAAAAGAACUGUCUUUUCUGUAUACUUUCCCUGGUUCCGUUGCUACCGCAGGAUUUAUGCAAUCGACCGAAUGAGAUAGAUAUCCCUUCAACAUAGUUCAUCAGAAGGAUCUCGGAGACCCACCAAAGUACGAAAGCCAGGAUCUUUCAGAAAAUGGAUUCGUAUUCAAAGAGUGCAUAACCCCAUGGAUAAUCUCACACUAACCCGUCAAUUUGGGAUCCAAAUUUGAGAUUUUCCCUGGGAGGUAUCAGGAAGGGUUUGGAAUGGAAUAAUAUCGAUUCAUAUAGAAGAAAGGGUUCUCUAUUGAUUCAAAAACUGUAUCUAUGGAAUAGGGAUCGAGGAAGGGGAAAACCCAAGAUUUCACAUGGUACUUUUAUCAAUCUGAUUUAUUUCGUACCUUUCGUUCAAUGAGAAAAUGGGUCAAAUUCUAGAGGAUCAAACCUAUGGGACUUAAGGAAUGAUAUAAAAAAAGAGAGGGAAAAUAUUCAUAUUAAAUAAAUAUGAAGUAGAAGAACCCAGAUUCCAAAUGAACAAAUUCAAACCUGAAAAGGAUCUUGAGGUACCUCAAAGGUUAUCUUGGCAAAGGGAUUGAUCAAGAAAGAUCUUUUGUUCUUCUUAUAUAUAAGAUCGUGAUUCGAUCCACAUAUGUUUGGUAAAGAGAAUAAUCUUAUCCUUUGAGAAUAAUAAAAAAUCGACAGUGUUCAAUUAGAACAUGAAAACAUGACUAAAUUGGUCCUAGUUACUCUUCGGGGCAGAGUGGAAGAAGGGGGGAUUCUCGAAUGCGGAAAAGGAUCCAAUAAUUUCAAAAGAAUUGAACGAGCAGCUGUAUGAGGUGAAAAUCUCAUGUACGGUUCUGCAGAGUGGCAGUAAGGGUGACUUAUCUGUCAACUUUUCUACUAUCACUCCAAAAAAACCAAACUCUGCCUUACGUAAAGUUCCUAGAGUACGAUUGACCUCUGGAUUUGAAAUCACUUCUUAUAUACCCGGUAUUGGCCAUAAUUCACAAGAACAUUCUGUAGUCUUAGUAAGAGGGGGAAG
rnacentral:lncRNA from 1 species